rnacentral:rRNA from 1 species
UACGUAGGGGGCAAGCGUUGUCCGGAAUCAUUGGGCGUAAAGAGCGUGUAGGCGGCCAGAUAAGUCCGCUGUGAAAUCUCGAGGCUCAACUUCGAGCUGUCGGUGGAAACUGUCUGGCUAGAGUGCGGUAGAGGAUGGCGGAAUUCCCGGUGUAGCAGUGAAAUGCGUAGAGAUCGGGAGGAACAUCUGUGGCGAAGGCGGCCAUCUGGACCAGCACUGACACUGAGGCACGAAAGCGUGGGGAGCAAACAGG